GAAUGAAGCCGACGGGAUUUGGGCAGGAGGCCUGCGUCCAUACAUCUCUGACAACUUUAACAACGCCUUGGAUCAAGGAGUCAAAAUGCGGCGAGAGGAGCUCAACAAUCGAUUCCAUCUGGGCACUGCGUUGGAAAGGGGUUACGGCUUGGGUCAGGGAGAUCCGCUCUAUCGAAGAAACACCCACUAACGCCGAACCCGCUCCAUUACUGAUAUAACGCCCUCGACGUUCUGGAAUAAAUUUCUGGUUCAUGACCGAAUGAUGGACGAUGGCAAGCCAAGGGCAGGUGCAAUGUGACAUCAGAGAUAGGAUGAGAGGGUCUCGUCCCUUAUUAGAAUUUCCAUGUUGAAGACAGACACUGACAGGACUGCCUAGAAUAUCGCUGUUUGUGGUUUUCGUGGUGUGCAUUAAAUCAAGAGGAGUGACAAACAAUACUCCAGCUUCCAAAGAACUAGUACACUUUUUACAGAUGAAUGAUCCACAUACAUUUUAACUUGUACACAGAACUGAGCACUUCCAAUUUGUCACUAUUUGCUGGAACAAAAACAAAAACACAUAUACACAUCUAGUGUAAUGCAAAAGUAGUGCAAAACAUUUUGUAGCAAUUUCAUUUCGGAUUUUUAGCAUUUUAUUAUGGUAAUAUGGCAUACGACAUGCGUUAGAUCAAUGUUUAAGAUUUCUUUAAGCCUGUAGGAAUGUAGUAAGAAGUAAGAAUGUAGAAGCAGGAUUGGAAAAUGCUGCAUUUCGGGAGUUUUUGGUAUGAAAAUACGUACCGAACCUCGCUGAAAACACAGAUGACUCAAAUCAAAAUGGCGGCGCAUACGAAGCUUUGCACUAAAUUGUUCAGAAUUCUACUCAGGUAUUCCCAUUUUUCAUUCCCGUCAUAUGCAAUUUUACCAGACAUUUUAAAAGCAUAAUAUUUUAGCUCUCUCGGCACUCUCUGACAUACCCUAUAUAAUAAGACUCAUACCAAAUAGCUUCCUUUUUUUCACAAUUUGAUUGAAUUUGUGGUUCCUCAUUUAUUUGCAUUAUAAUACUGUUGAAUCAAUUAUCAUUGGCAGUGCAGUAAACAUAAUUUAAUUAUAGAAUUUAGGAAGAAUUUCUUAAGUCGUUGAAAUCUUAUUGGUAGAUUUUUAACACAGGUAACUUAUGGGAUAAUUAAAACUAUAGCAUACUAUUUGA